AACUUCCCAACUGCUUCUGAUUGGAAGACUAAGGGAGAGGUCACAGAAGAUGGCUCCCUACUGAGGAUAAACCAACUUAGAGGAGACAGAGACUGCUGUUUGGAGUGGAGCAGGCAUGGUAACGGGAAUGACAGAGAUUUGGCCUGGGACUCGGAAGAGUGUUGAACUACCUGACCCACCUGAUGUGUAUGCUUCAAACUGAGUCCUAGAUUCUGAUUCAAACCAAGUUAAGUCUCCAGGGCCAGACUGAAGACAUGACAUAUCUUGGCCUGGACAGGGACGUGGAGAACAUGAAUAUGGACACUACCUGGGAGACCUGUUGGAGCUUUCUUCUCUUGACGAUGGGAGUACUCAGUAGCUGCAACCAGAGCAGAGAAGUCUUCAUGCUCCUCAGACAAGAAAACAUUGGUGCUGGGAGGCUAGUGUGAACCAGACGGGUACUGGUGACCAGAAGAAGUCAUAGGGCCUUCAUCCACUGAGCCCAUCAAGGCUUCAUUCAUACUCUCUUUUUCCUGUAGCUCUGUGCUCAGGCUAGGGGAAAAAGGAUAUGAUGAAACCAAGAAGGAUUGGAUGCCCGAGUCCCAGGUGGUCCUGAUUGGUGGUAGAGAGAGUGGUCACAGAAAGUGAGGGACAGUCCCCUCAAAGAGAA